rnacentral:rRNA from 1 species
CCUACGGGAGGCAGCAGUGGGGAAUAUUGCACAAUGGGCGCAAGCCUGAUGCAGCCAUGCCGCGUGUGUGAAGAAGGCCUUCGGGUUGUAAAGCACUUUCAGCGGGGAGGAAGGCGUUAAGGUUAAUAACCUUGGCGAUUGACGUUACCCGCAGAAGAAGCACCGGCUAACUCCGUGCCAGCAGCCGCGGUAAUACGGAGGGUGCAAGCGUUAAUCGGAAUUACUGGGCGUAAAGCGCACGCAGGCGGUCUGUCAAGUCGGAUGUGAAAUCCCCGGGCGCAACCUGGGAACUGCAUUCGAAACUGGCAGGCUAGAGUCUUGUAGAGGGGGGUAGAAUUCCAGGUGUAGCGGUGAAAUGCGUAGAGAUCUGGAGGAAUACCGGUGGCGAAGGCGGCCCCCUGGACAAAGACUGACGCUCAGGUGCGAAAGCGUGGGGAGCAAACAGGAUUAAUACCCUAGUAGUC